GGCUUUGACAUAUGGGCCUUAUCUUAAUCGGGCUUUACAAUUAAACCAAACAGAUAUAAAAACAAGCAAAUCCUGACCUGGCAGUGGAUCUUCAUGUGUCAUCCUCAAAAACCAUAGAAUCUAAGAUAAGAAGAUAAGGGACACGUGUCAAAAAUCCAACACACAGAAACACAUUUUCCCCGAUUUACUAACGCACAACAAAACUCUUUCAUUCUCUUCUUACACCUUUUCUCCAGAGUUCCGACAAUGGCUUCAGCAUCAGCGACAGCUACUCUUCUCAAACCCAAUCUUCCGCCGCAUAAACCGACCAUCAUCGCCUCCUCCGUAUCUCCGCCUCUUCCUCCUCCACGUCGCAACCACCUCCUCCGCCGCGAUUUCCUCUCCCUGGCGGCAACAUCCACGCUUCUAACACAAUCGAUUCAGUUUCUAGCUCCGGCGCCGGUCUCCGCCGCUGAAGAUGAAGAGUAUAUCAAAGAUACGUCGGCAGUGAUCAGUAAAGUAAGGAGUACGCUUUCGAUGCAGAAGACAGAUCCGAAUGUGGCUGAUGCGGUGGCGGAGCUGAGAGAAGCGUCGAAUUCUUGGGUUGCCAAGUACCGGAAAGAGAAAGCUCUUCUCGGAAAAGCUUCUUUCCGGGAUAUAUACUCGGCGUUGAAUGCUGUUUCAGGUCAUUAUGUGAGUUUUGGUCCGACGGCUCCGAUUCCGGCGAAGAGGAAGGCGAGGAUUCUUGAAGAGAUGGAAACUGCUGAGAAAGCUCUCACAAGAGGAAGAUGAAAAAACUGCAGUCAGGCCUUCUUCUCCAUUUUCUUGUUGAUGAAAAUUUUAUUUUCCUAAAAAU
rnacentral:lncRNA from 1 species